rnacentral:rRNA from 1 species
CCUACGGGAGGCAGCAGUGAGGAAUAUUGGUCAAUGGGCGAGAGUCUGAACCAGCCAAGUAGCGUGAAGGAUGACUGCCCUAUGGGUUGUAAACUUCUUUUAUAUGGGAAUAACAUGUUCCACGUGUGGGAUUUUGUAUGUACCAUAUGAAUAAGGAUCGGCUAACUCCGUGCCAGCAGCCGCGCUAAUACGGAGGAUCCGAGCGUUAUCCGGAUUUAUUGGGUUUAAAGGGAGCGUAGGUGGAUUGUUAAGUCAGUUGUGAAAGUUUGCGGCUCAACCGUAAAAUUGCAGUUGAAACUGGCAGUCUUGAGUACAGUAGAGGUGGGCGGAAUUCGUGGUGUAGCGGUGAAAUGCUUAGAUAUCACGAAGAACUCCGAUUGCGAAGGCAGUUCACUGGACUGCAACUGACACUGAGGCUCGAAAGUGUGGGUAUCAAACAGGAUUAGAUACCCCGGUAGUC